GAGUAAGACAAGAGGAGCAAGCCAGUAAGCAGCACCCAGUAUGGUCCCCUGCGUGGCCCUUGCAUCAGCUCCAGCUGCCAUGUUCCUGCCCUGCUUGAGUUCUUGCCUGUGGUUCGUGAACUUUUAUAUGUAACUGAGGCAAAGAACCAAGAAACCUUAGGAACUCUGGAAGACCAUGAGAGGACACGUCUGUCUCCACACCUUCCCAAGUCCAGAAUCUCUGUGGAAAGUGAAGGUAAUAGAAGCAGUCCUUCUGUACUGACAGACAGACAUCCUCAGCAUGAGGAAAAGCUACGAGACCACAGGCAAAUACGUCAAGGUUUGCUCUCUGGAGAUUUUCAGCGCAUCCUGUCCCAGAUUCUCAUUUGGUUAUUUGUCAACGACUGGUUUUCAUGUUGCCCAUGUGUGCACAAAUGCACAUGAAGGCAUGAAACACGUGAAGGUUGUGCAAGCUACUCUAGUUGUGUGCAGUGGUGGCUGUUCUCGGUUUGACUACAUCUGGAACUAAAACCCAAGCAGCUGGGGACACCUGUGCAUGGAUUUCCUUAAUUAAAGCACGUGAAGUGGGAAGAGCCAUCUUUAAUCUGCGUCACACCUGCUGGAGGCAGGCUACAUAAAUAAAGGACAUGGAAGAAUGAA